GGCCCCAUCGUCUAGGGGCCUAGGACACAGCCCUUUCAAGGCUGCGGCGCGGGUUCGAACCCCGCUGGGGCCGCCA
rnacentral:tRNA from 1 species